rnacentral:lncRNA from 1 species
CUCAGCGUGUACAAGUGGCAGUAGUUAGUUUUUUGUCUGGAUUGAAACUUGAGUAUGGUGCUGCAAAAGAUCACAUUCUCACCAAUUCAGAAUCCAUCACACUUCGAGACAUGUAUAUUCAUCAUAUACAUACUCACCGAGAAAUUUCCAAGGGGACAUCAUCCAAUGAAGCUUCUGCCUUGGUAAGCUAUGGUGGAAGUCGUGGCGGCUCUAGGGG